ACAAGCGGUGGAUGAUGUGGAUUAAUUCGAUGCAACGCGAAGAACCUUACCUACCCUUGACAUGUCCGGAACUUGCCAGAGAUGGCUUGGUGCCCGAAAGGGAAUCGGAACACAGGUGCUGCAUGGCUGUCGUCAGCUCGUGUCGUGAGAUGUUCGGUUAAGUCCGCUAGCGAGCGCAACCCUCGUCGUAUGUUAUAUGUGUCAUACGAGACUGCCGGUAAAAGCCGGAGGAAGGUGAGGAUGAUGUCAAGUCAGCAUGACCUUUAUAUCCAGGGCUACACACACGCUACAAUGGUCUGUACAAUGGGUAGCCAAGCCGCGAGGCGGAGCCAAUCCUGAAAGCAGGCCUCAGUUCAGAUUGCAGUCUGCAACUCGACUGCAUGAAGCCGGAGUUGCUAGUAACCGCAGGUCAGCAAUACUGCGGUGAAUACGUUCCCGGGUCUU
rnacentral:rRNA from 1 species